rnacentral:rRNA from 1 species
GGGUAGUUUGACUGGGGCGGUCUCCUCCUAAAGAGUAACGGAGGAGCACGAAGGUCAGCUAAUCCUGGUCGGACAUCAGGAGGUUAGUGCAAUGGCAUAAGCUGGCUUGACUGCGAGCGUGACGGCGCGAGCAGGUGCGAAAGCAGGUCAUAGUGAUCCGGUGGUUCUGAAUGGAAGGGCCAUCGCUCAACGGAUAAAAGGUACUCCGGGGAUAACAGGCUGAUACCGCCCAAGAGUUCAUAUCGACGGCGGUGUUUGGCACCUCGAUGUCGGCUCAUCACAUCCUGGGGCUGAAGUAGGUCCCAAGGGUAUGGCUGUUCGCCAUUUAAAGUGGUACGCGAGCUGGGUUUAGAACGUCGUGAGACAGUUCGGUCCCUAUCUGCCGUGGGCGCUGGAGAAUUGAGGGGGGCUGCUCCUAGUACGAGAGGACCGGAGUGGACGCAUCACUGGUGUUCGGGUUGUCAUGCCAAUGGCAUUGCCCGGUAGCUAAAUGCGGAAGAGAUAAGUGCUGAAAGCAUCUAAGCACGAAACUUGCCCCGAGAUGAGUUCUCCCUGACUCCUUGAGAGUCCUGAAGGAACGUUGAAGACGACGACGUUGAUAGGCCGGGUGUGUAAGCGCAGCGAUGCGUUGAGCUAACCGGUACUAAUGAACCGUGAGGCUUAACCUUACA